rnacentral:misc_RNA from 1 species
GAAAUUAUAAAAAAAAUUCUUAGUUAUUUUGAUAUUUAUUUCUAGAAAAAAAUAAGGAAUAUAUGCAAAUUUGUUCGGGUACUGGGUAUUGUUCGGGUAUCGGGCCGUUCCCUUUAUCUUAUUUACCGUUGACCAAGCGCCUCGCCGCGCGCUUGUAUAUCUGCGCGCAAGAAAUGGGCUGUGGACUCCUUAAAACUUCAAAUUUUGUUCUGUAACUUUGGGAAUAUAUUUUCUACAUGGAUUACUAUUGAUUAAAGCAAAACAAAAUUUUUCAAUUUUUUUAACUGGUUACACGAGGCUCCCCCCUUAAUACGCGAGAACACGAAACAAAGUCAUAAAAAGACGACGACACAUACGCGGUAAGACUUAAUAGUCAAAUUCGAGUCCCGCGAAUUUAAAUAAUAAAAUAAAAGUGAAGUUGAGAGAAUAAAAGUUGAGGAGAAGAAUCCCAGUAAACAUGCAAGGAUCAUUUACGUAACAUUUAUAUAAAAUACUAUAAUAAACUUUUCCUACAUCUUCAAUAAAAGAGGAGAAUAUUACCAUAAUAUAUAUUCAUUUUUUCAAGCGAUGGAAAUAACGAUGAAGAGAUAGUAUCAGAAGUACCCUCUUUAUGGCUUUCCUCCAAUUUAACAGAAUGCUGGUGGCCAUCAGUCAAAAAUAUAAAUACUUUCAUUACAAAAUAGACUCCACCUCUUUUUAAUGAUCCUAAGUGGUCACUUCAUCCCAUUAAAUUUCAUGGAUAUUAUGAUUCAUUAGAUCAGGCUAGGCAGAAAGCAACGAAUUAUUUUUCAAGUGAUGAUAGCAAUAUAAGUAAAAAAGAAAAGAAGAAGUCACGUACAUUAUGCAAUAAAAAACAGUUGUCAAAUAUUGAUUCUGAAUCUAAAUCUGAAUCUGAUUUUAGUAGUGGUAUACCAAACUCACCAGAUUUUGAUACUAUUAUAUCAAACUCAUCAAAUAAAAAUGUCCCAAUCAACGAUAUCUCAAAUAUUUUGAAUUCAACAGAACAUGUUGACUUGAACAUCCUUGAAGGAGCAAUAGUAUCGCACAAAAGUAUACAAGACUUACAUACAUUAAUAACAGAAAUGUUAAAUAAAAUGGAAGAUAAUUUUCAAAAAAUAUAUACAGCUAUAACUACUGUUUCAUUAGGAAUACAAGAUCUGAAUGCUCGUUUAAUAUAAAUAGAAAAACGAAAUAAUCAACAUCAGCCUGAAGCACCUACUUUAGAUAUAGGUAUCAAAUAUUCAACGAUAUUUCCCGUUUAAAAGUAUUGAUGAAGUUGUAGCUUUUGAAAACAGUUUAUCACAAAAUCCAGAUGAGUACAACAAAUUUAUACUGUAUAUAUCUCGCAUAGGCGGAAGGUCCGCUAAGGAAAAUUUAAUUCGUAUAUACCGAACUUUAUUUUCCAAUGAAGUUGCCAAACAAUCAUCUUGGAAAGGAUUACGAAAUCAUUUUAAAAUCAGUACCUUAAACAUUAUAUUAAUGGGAAUACAAGCAACAAUUUCAGGACAACAUCAAUUCACAAACAAAGAAUUUGAGGAUAUUACAAAAGAAUGGUUUCGCCAAGGUGGCCAGAGGCUUAGCAGACAACAAAAAGACGAAGAAAUAAAUCCACAAACCGUUUAAAUAUUUGAGAAGAGUUUAUGAUUAAGUAUUUUUAUUAUGUAAUCUUCUCCUUAUAUUGCUUUAUGUUAGAUAUUUUAUUCAAACAUUUAUUUUUA